rnacentral:rRNA from 1 species
GAAUUCGCCCUUAGAGUUUGAUCCUGGCUCAGGACGAACGCUGGCGGCGUGCUUAACACAUGCAAGUCGAACGAGAAUCUGCAGAAGGAGGAUUCGUCCAACGGAAGCAGAGGAAAGUGGCGGACGGGUGAGUAACGCGUGAGGAACCUGCCUUGAAGAGGGGGACAACAGUUGGAAACGACUGCUAAUACCGCAUGACGCAUAGAGGUCGCAUGAUCUAUAUGCCAAAGAUUUAUCGCUUCAAGAUGGCCUCGCGUCUGAUUAGCUGGUUGGCGGGGUAACGGCCCACCAAGGCGACGAUCAGUAGCCGGACUGAGAGGUUGAACGGCCACAUUGGAACUGAGAAACGGUCCACACUCCUACGGGAGGCAGCAGUGGGGAAUAUUGGGCAAUGGGCGAAAGCCUGACCCAGCAACGCCGCGUGAGGGAAGAAGGGUUUCGGCUCGUAAACCUCUGUCCUAUGGGACGAAGGAAGUGACGGUACCAUAGGAGGAAGCCCCGGCUAACUACGUGCCAGCAGCCGCGGUAAUACGUAGGGGGCGAGCGUUGUCCGGAAUGAUUGGGCGUAAAGGGCGCGUAGGCGGCCUGCUAAGUCUGGAGUGAAAGUCCUGCUUUCGAGGUGGGAAUUGCUUUGGAUACUGGGAGGCUGGAGUGCAGGAGAGGAAAGCGGAAUUACCGGUGUAGCGGUGAAAUGCGUAGAGAUCGGUAGGAACACCAGUGGCGAAGGCGGCUUUCUGGACUGUAACUGACGCUGAGGCGCGAAAGCGUGAGGAACAAACAGGAUUAGAUACCCUGGUAGUCCACGCAAAAAACAAAGAUUACUAUUUGU